GAUGAACGCUGGCGGCGUGCUUAACACAUGCAAGUCGAACGAAGCACUUUAUUUGAUUUCCUUCGGGACUGAUUAUUUUGUGACUGAGUGGCGGACGGGUGAGUAACGCGUGGGUAACCUGCCUUGUACAGGGGGAUAACAGUUGGAAACGGCUGCUAAUACCGCAUAAGCGCACAGCAUCGCAUGAUGCAGUGUGAAAAACUCCGGUGGUAUAAGAUGGACCCGCGUUGGAUUAGCUAGUUGGUGAGGUAACGGCCCACCAAGGCGACGAUCCAUAGCCGACCUGAGAGUGUGACCGGCCACAUUGGGACUGAGACACGGCCCAAACUCCUACGGGAGGCAGCAGUGGGGAAUAUUGCACAAUGGGCGAAAGCCUGAUGCAGCGACGCCGCGUGAGCGAAGAAGUAUUUCGGUAUGUAAGGCUCUAUCAGCAGGGAAGAUAAUGACGGUACCUGACUAAGAAGCACCGGCUAAAUACGUG
rnacentral:rRNA from 1 species